UACGGGGGGGGCAAGCGUUGUUCGGAAUUACUGGGCGUAAAGGGCUCGUAGGCGGCCAACUAAGUCAUACGUGAAAUCCCCAGGCUCAACUUGGGAACUGCGUCUGAUACUGGAUGGCUUGAAUUCGGGAGAGGGAUGCAGAAUUCCAGGUGUAGCGGUGAAAUGCGUAGAUAUCUGGAGGAAUACCGGUGGCGAAGGCGGCCUUCUGGACGAUGACUGACGCUGAGACGCGAAAGCGUGGGGAGCAAACAGG
rnacentral:rRNA from 1 species